UAGAGUUCUAUCCCAUAUACAAGCUCAUCAAAAUGUGUCAGUGAACAUAGUAAGAUUACAGUGUCUAUAGAAAGUGCUUUUCUUCUCAUAACCUGUGUUUUUUUCCCCUCCAGAAUGGACUCACAAUGGCUUUUGUAAUCAAUAUCCAAUGGUACAGGUUCUAAGAUUUUCUAUUGGGAACACAGGACACCUAGACCGAGGACCAAUGGCUCCCGCCAGCUUUAAACAUGGGCCCGUGCUCACACACUCAGUAUCUUCCCUUUGUGCUGUGUGAGUAAUAUUCCAGAUUUUUCUGUCUUGUUUUGCUCAACGGUAUGUUCUAUACUUUUAUAGAGUAUACAAUAUAUUGAGACAAGGAUGUCAUCCUGUUGAACGAAGCGCAACCAUUCUUUGUCAUGUUAAAUUGUUCACGAACGGAUGUGUUCAUCAUCAAACAUGCAUGUAUCAUUGGAUAAGAAGAGGUAUAAUACGGGCCAAUGAUGACAAGGUUUUGGUGUUAUUAGUCACAGACGAUGACUACAUCUCUAGCAGUCUGAGGUCCACAGCAUAAGAUGCCUCAUAUUACCCUCUCAUGCAGGGGUUUCAAGUCAGGCAUGUGCAACAUAUAUUAGACAUUAUCCAUGCACUCUCAUCAUCUCAUAGUGCAUCAUUUAAUCAGGACAGAAAUCUAUAUACUGAUAAGUUAUUUAAGGUAUUGAUCAAUCCUGAUCAUAAAUAUUUGGCCUUCCAUGAUACUGAUACACACAGAAAAUCCACUUAGAAUGACUUGUGUAUAAGCUUAUAUAAACCUUUAUUGAAGGUUAUUUAUAUGGUACAAUUUAUGACUUAAUUCUUUGUGAUGGUCAAUGCCUUAAUUUUCAAUUCUUAAAAAUUAUCAAAAUUAUUCUUUUUUUUUUACUUGAUUUCUUAAGAAAACUAUCAGAACAAUUUUGACUCUGAAACAGUGGAAGGAGAAAUGUAAGAAUAAAUGGACAAAAUAAUCAAUCUCUUUAUUAUCUUUGCUCUUUUGUACUCCCUGGAUGGGUGCUGACUGACCAAUGAUUUCCUGCCUGGGAGGUCGAUGGUUGCCCUAACACCAUGGGGAUGGAGCUCAGUGGUGCUGUAAGUAAAGCCAAAGAUCUGACCUUGGCUUGAUUGUCUUUGCUAAGACACUCCUGUCUUGGUAAAUUCUUGCAUCGCCACCUUUCAGAUGUAUUAAUAGUUAGAUAAUAGUUAGGGACUACAAAUACGGAGGAAGGAGAUGGUCAGUGUUGGGUGAGGGAUUACCACUGAUGAUGUAUGAUCCUUUGAUCAGGAAGAUAGGUCUGCGAUUCUCAGGUCCACACUAGAACAUAUGUUAUCUUGAUCUUUAUAUUCAUGAAUUUUCAUUUUUGUUUUUUGUUUUUUAAUCUAGGCUAAAAUAUAGCAAAGCAGGACAUAGCCAUCUCAAAUUAUGAAAAUAAUUUCAGUGUACACAAACAGUAUACGCAUCAAAAUUUGGAAGAUCAUUUUAAAUAAGGGGACCUGAUCUGUGUGCAAUUUAAAAUGGCGGUCGAAUUCUUAAAGUGGCUGACCACUUCUCAUGGGAGAUUUGUAGGGCUUGUGGUAGAUGAUAACCAUAGUGGUAUAUGAAUCAAGGACCAUGACUAAUGGUCUGUUCAUUAGGAGGUACACAUCUUGAAGCCUGUGGUUCAUGGUUCAGGUUCCUUGCAAAGUUGCUAGGUCUACUCAUGAAUGUCUGUGUUAAUUAGUAUUGCUAUAUUUCUUUCCCAAGGCUGCUGAGGGGUCAUGGCACGGAUAACCCCAGGUUACAUCCGCUGUUAUUUGUUAACAGGAAAAGAAAUACAGUACAAAUUCUACAAAUAUGUACAAAAUACCUUCUGUAGAGGAUCUAUCGAUGGGAUUGGUAUAAUGUUUGACUGAAACUUGGGAGAUGCAAAUAUUUUUCAAAAUGUUCAGCCUACCUAUCAUCAAAUAAAGUCAGGGAGGAAUUGAAGGGAUAAACCCGGAGGUAGUAACUGAAGCAGUGACCACGGAGGAGUCCUCCCUGUUCUUCAUAUUUACUUAGGUUAUUUUUUAUAGUCCCUCAAGAACAUUGAACACACACCAGAUCCCGGCAAGCACUUGUAUCUUAGGUGCAUUCCAAAAUAUAUCCAAAUAUUCCAAAAAUAUAUCUAGAAAAUAGAUGUUUCCAAAGGGUGGUUUGCAUUAUUUUUUGGUUUGAAGGUCCAUGUGUCCUGAACAUAAUGAUUAAUUUUAUGUAAUUAAUUCAUGCAUUCAUAUAUAUAUAUUGUAUAAUUUAAUAGAGUAAAUGUAGGUUGCACUUUGAUCAGCAAUUACCUUCGGUGUCAUUUGAGUUGUUAUCAUUACUACUGUUCUGGAUAUCUAAUGUCAAUCUCAUAGAGUAUCUAUCUACAAGAUUUAUCUUAAUGACAAAUUCGAGAAAUAAUCUACUUUUAUAUUUAGGCAAAAGCAUUAGCAGAAGUAAAUUGGUAAGGCACUUAGAAAAAUAAUUCCAAAGACUAGAGGGAUACCUCAGUGGAAAGUGGAAGUUGCUCUCCUUGCAUAAGAUCUGCAUUGGGUUUUAUCCUCAAUUUGGCAGCUUACUACUAUGUGGAACUUUACUUCAGGGGGAUCUCUUACCAUCAUCUGAUUUUUGUAAAUGCCACAUACAUGUGUCACAAAUACACAUAUGCAGAUAAAAAAUACUCAAACAGAUAAAAUAAAAAUAAAACAAAUUCCAGAGUAAUGUGCUAUUAAUGAAGACAGAAUGAAUGAGGAGUCCCAGUGAAGUAAAAGUAUAAGCAACCUUUUUUGUGUGUAUGGUCCGAACUAUGUGUCAUGUUUCUAUUCUUAGUAUAAUAUUUAAUAGUGUCAGAUCCACAUAGAUGAUUGAGAAGAGAUAAGCUCGUGCUCAAGUGCAUGAAUGAAGGAAAAAAUGUUCAUUUUCUUUUGUUGAUCUCUUUUCUUUUGUACUAUUAGAAUGCAUCCUGCCAUGAAGAUGACUUUUACAUUGUCCUUUGAUCCUGAGAAUCACAAUAAGCUGUUGAAGAUUUUAAAAUGAACUCAGUAAUGGAUACCUCCAAAGUGAUUUACAUGUUCUUCCUCAGUCUUGAGGAUUGGGAUUCCAAGUAUGGGUCUGCAGAAUUGAGACAGUGUGAGUUUAACCUAUGAUCUUCUUUAGGAUUUAUUUGGCAUUUAAUCACAGUUACCAUACCAUGUUAUUAUAUUGGAACAGUGGGUGUAGCCAAAGGUUUAAUAUGGCAUGGAUAUGAUAUACAAUGUUCAAUAAAAUAAUAAAAAAUUAACCAUGUGCUAAGAUGGAGAUAGUCAUCAUUGCAAAAGAUCCUGUGGAGGUUUAAAGUAUACUC